rnacentral:rRNA from 1 species
AUUGAACGCUGGCGGCAGGCCUAACACAUGCAAGUCGAGCGGAUGAAGGGAGCUUGCUCCUGGAUUCAGUGGCGGACGGGUGAGUAAUGCCUAGGAAUCUGCCUGGUAGUGGGGGAUAACGUCCGGAAACGGGCGCUAAUACCGCAUACGUCCUGAGGGAGAAAGUGGGGGAUCUUCGGACCUCACGCUAUCAGAUGAGCCUAGGUCGGAUUAGCUAGUUGGUGGGGUAAAGGCCUACCAAGGCGACGAUCCGUAACUGGUCUGAGAGGAUGAUCAGUCACACUGGAACUGAGACACGGUCCAGACUCCUACGGGAGGCAGCAGUGGGGAAUAUUGGACAAUGGGCGAAAGCCUGAUCCAGCCAUGCCGCGUGUGUGAAGAAGGUCUUCGGAUUGUAAAGCACUUUAAGUUGGGAGGAAGGGCAGUAAGUUAAUACCUUGCUGUUUUGACGUUACCCACAGAAUAAGCACCGGCUAACUUCGUG